ACUUACCAUGCAGUCGUACGAGGCCGUCGGAGGGACAAUAAUUCGGCGGUUCCAGUGGCGCACGGGAAAGUAACACGUGGGUAACCCACCCUUGAGACCGGGAUACCCUCUCCAAAGGGAGGCUAAUACUGGAUACGUUCCCUGGGACGCAAGAUCUGGGGAGGAAAGGUGGCGAAAGCUGCCGCUCUUGGAGGGGCUCGCGGCCUAUCAGCUAGUUGGUGAGGUAAUGGCUCACCAAGGCUAUGACGGGUAGCUGGUCUGAGAGGACGACCAGCCACACGGGAACUGAGACACGGUCCCGACUCCUACGGGAGGCAGCAGUGGG
rnacentral:rRNA from 1 species